rnacentral:rRNA from 1 species
UACGUAGGGGGCUAGCGUUGUCCGGAUUUAUUGGGCGUAAAGAGCUCGUAGGCGGUUCGAUAAGUCGACGGUGAAAUCUCCACGCUCAACGUGGAGGGGUCCGUUGAUACUGUCGUGACUCGAGUCCGGUAGAGGAGUGUGGAAUUCCCGGUGUAGCGGUGAAAUGCGCAGAUAUCAGGAGGAACACCGAUGGCGAAGGCAGGUCUCUGGGCCACUACUGACGCUGAGAAGCGAAAGCAUGGGGAGCGAACAGG